rnacentral:rRNA from 1 species
GCAGCAAUUGACGUUACCCGCAGAAGAAGCACCGGCUAACUCCGUGCCAGCAGCCGCGGUAAUACGGAGGGUGCAAGCGUUAAUCGGAAUUACUGGGCGUAAAGCGCACGCAGGCGGUCUGUCAAGUCGGAUGUGAAAUCCCCGGGCUCAACCUGGGAACUGCAUUCGAAACUGGCAGGCUUGAGUCUUGUAGAGGGGGGUAGAAUUCC